AAAUCCGGCACUCAUAAGGCUGAGCUGUGAUGGGGAGAGGAAAUUGUUUCCUCGAGUCGUUGAUUUCACACUGCCGAGAAAAGCCUCUAGAUAGAUAACAGGUGCCCGUACCGCAAACCGACACAGGUAGUCAAGAUGAGAAUUCUAAGGUGAGCGAGCGAACUCUCGUUAAGGAACUCGGCAAAAUGACCCCGUAACUUCGGGAGAAGGGGUGCUCUUUAGGGUUCACGCCCAGAAGAGCCGCAGUGAAUAGGCCCAAGCGACUGUUUAUCAAAAACACAGGUCUCUGCUAAACCGUAAGGUGAUGUAUAGGGGCUGACGCCUGCCCGGUGCUGGAAGGUUAAGAGGAGUGGUUAGCUUCUGCGAAGCUACGAAUCGAAGCCCCAGUAAACGGCGGCCGUAACUAUAACGGUCCUAAGGUAGCGAAAUUCCUUGUCGGGUAAGUUCCGACCCGCACGAAAGGCGUAACGAUUUGGGCACUGUCUCAACGAGAGACUCGGUGAAAUCAUAGUACCUGUGAAGAUGCAGGUUACCCGCGACAGGACGGAAAGACCCCGUGGAGCUUUACUGUAGCCUGAUAUUGAAAUUCGGCACAGCUUGUACAGGAUAGGUAGGAGCCUUUGAAACGUGAGCGCUAGCUUACGUGGAGGCGUUGGUGGGAUACUACCCUAGCUGUGUUGGCUUUCUAACCCGCACCACUUAUCGUGGUGGGAGACAGUGUCAGGCGGGCAGUUUGACUGGGGCGGUCGCCUCCUAAAAGGUAACGGAGGCGCUCAAAGGUUCCCUCAGAAUGGUUGGAAAUCAUUCAUAGAGUGUAAAGGCAUAAGGGAGCUUGACUGCGAGACCUACAAGUCGAGCAGGGUCGAAAGACGGACUUAGUGAUCCGGUGGUUCCGCAUGGAAGGGCCAUCGCUCAACGGAUAAAAGCUACCCCGGGGAUAACAGGCUUAUCUCCCCCAAGAGUUCACAUCGACGGGGAGGUUUGGCACCUCGAUGUCGGCUCAUCGCAUCCUGGGGCUGUAGUCGGUCCCAAGGGUUGGGCUGUUCGCCCAUUAAAGCGGUACGCUAGCUGGGUUCAGAACGUCGUGAGACAGUUCGGUCCCUAUCCGUCGUGGGCGUAGGAAAUUUGAGAGGAGCUGUCCUUAGUACGAGAGGACCGGGAUGGACAUACCUCUGGUGUACCAGUUGUCGUGCCAACGGCAUAGCUGGGUAGCUAUGUAUGGACGGGAUAAGUGCUGAAAGCAUCUAAGCAUGAAGCCCCCCUCAAGAUGAGAUUUCCCAACUUCGGUUAUAAGAUCCCUCGAAGAUGACGAGGUUAAUAGGUUCGAGGUGGAAGCGUGGUGACACGUGGAGCUGACGAAUACUAAUCGAUCGAAGACUUAAUCAAUUUUUAAA
rnacentral:rRNA from 1 species